UACGUAGGGUGCGAGCGUUAAUCGGAAUUACUGGGCGUAAAGCGUGCGCAGGCGGUUCGCCAAGUCAGGUGUGAAAUCCCCGGGCUUAACCUGGGAAUUGCGCUUGAAACUAGCGGGCUUGAGUGUGGGCAGAGGGGGGUGGAAUUCCACGUGUAGCAGUGAAAUGCGUAGAUAUGUGGAGGAACACCGAUGGCGAAGGCAGCCCCCUGGGAUAACACUGACGCUCAUGCACGAAAGCGUGGGGAGCAAACAGG
rnacentral:rRNA from 1 species